AGAAUCAACGCUGGCGGCGUGCCUAACACAUGCAAGUCGAGCGCGAAUAGGGGGGCAACCCCCUUAGUAGAGCGGCGAACGGGUGAGUAACGCGUGGGUAACCUGCCCUCGAGUGGGGAAUAACCCCGGGAAACUGGGGCUAAUACCGCAUGACAUCCCUGACUCCAUGAGCCGGGGAUCAAAGCUGGGGAUCGAAAGACCUGGCGCUUGAGGAGGGGCCCGCGUCCGAUUAGCUAGUUGGCGGGUAACGGCCCACCAAGGCGACGAUCGGUAGCCGGCCUGAGAGGGCGACGGCCACGACGUCGGACUGAGACACGGCCCAGACUCCUACGGGAGCGAGCAGUGGGGAAUUUUCGCGAAUGGGCGCAAGCCUGACGAAGCAACGCGCGUGGAGAUGAAGCCUGGUUGUAACUCCUGUCGACGGACGAAAGCUGCUGACCAAUACGUCGUACAGUUGACUGUACCGGUGGAACGGAACCGACGCUAAACGUCUACGUGACCGAGCGAGCCCGACGGUAAUCCGUAGACGGA
rnacentral:rRNA from 1 species